rnacentral:ncRNA from 1 species
GGGCGCACGGUGGAUGCCUAGGAGCAAGGAGCCGAUGAAGGGCGUGGCAAGCUGCGAUAAGCCACGGGGAGCCGCAAGCAGGCGUUGAUCCGUGGAUUCCCGAAUGGGGAAACCCGGCCACCGCAAGGGUGGUCACCCACCGCUGAACCCAUAGGCGGUGUGGAGGGAACCUGGGGAACUGAAACAUCUCAGUACCCAGAGGAAAAGAAACCGAAUGGGAUUCCCUCAGUAGUGGCGAGCGAACGGGGAACAGCCUAAACCAGUCGGGCGUGCCCGAUUGGGGUCGUGGGACCGACACAAGGGAGCGUCUUCCGCUUAGCAGAAGCUGCCUGGAACGGCACGCCAUAGAGGGUGAGAGCCCCGUAUGCGAAAAGUGGAGCGCCCCGUCGGGAUCCCGAGUAGCACGGGAUAAGUGGAACCCUGUGCGAAUCUGCCCGGACCACCGGGUAAGGCUAAAUACUCCUUGCUACCGAUAGCGCAACCAGUACCGUGAGGGAAAGGUGAAAAGCACCCCGGCGAGGGGAGUGAAAGAGAACCUGAAACCGUGCGCUUACAAGCAGUCGGAGGGCUAUGCCCCGCAAGGGGAACAGCCUGACGGCGUGCCUUUUGCAGAAUGAGCCGGCGAGUUACGCUUUGUGGCAAGGUUAAGCGCCUCAGGCGCGGAGCCGCAGCGAAAGCGAGUCCUCACAGGGCGACUCAGUCACAAGGCGUAGACCCGAAACCGCGCGAUCUACCCCUGGUCAGGCUGAAGCCGUGGUAACACACGGUGGAGGGCCGAACCGGUGUCCGUUGAAAAGGGCUCGGAUGAACUGGGGGUAGUGUGGUGAAAUGCCAAUCGAGCGCGGAGAUAGCUGGUUCUCCCCGAAAUGCAUUGAGGUGCAGCGUCACGGGCUAUGCUAUGCAGGUAGAGCCACUGGAUGGGCUAGGGGCCCCACCAGGUUACCGAACCCAACCAAACUCCGAAUGGCAUAGCAGGAACCGUGGCAGUGAGACAGCGACGGAUGAGCGCCGUUGUCAAAAGGGAAACAGCCCAGACCGCCCGCUAAGGUCCCUAAGCACAGGCUAAGUGUGAAAGGAUGUAGGCUCGCGUAGACAACCAGGAGGUUGGCUUAGAAGCAGCCAUCCUUUAAACAGUGCGUAACAGCUGACUGGUCGAAUGUGAGCCUGCGCCGACAAUGUAAGGGGGCUUAAGCCUGUCACCGAAGCGGCGGGUUCCCAGCAAUGGGAGCGGUAGGGGAGCGUUCUGCACGCAGUGAAGGUGGAGCGUGAGCACCGCUGGAGCGUGCAGAAGUGAGAAUGCCGGCACGAGUAGCGAGAAGACGGGUGAGAAUCCCGUCCGCCGAAAGCCUAAGGGUUCUUCAGGCAGGUUCGUCCGCUGAAGGUUAGGCGGUCCUAAGCCGAGGGCGAAACGCCGUAGGCGAAGGGCAGUGGGUCAACAUUCCCACCCCAGGGCGUGGAGCGAGAACGGGGACGCUUGAGAAUCGGUCGGGCGCAGGGUUGUAAGGCUGCGCGCGCCCCAGCGGCAACUCUGGGGCGCCGAAGGGAUCCCUCGUGGUGAACGAAGCGACCGUGACUCAAGCCGAGAAAAGCCGUUCCGCGUUGAAACGUCCUGACCGUACCGCAAACCGACACAGGUAGGCGAGGCGAGGAGCCUCAGGCGCGCGAGAGAAGUCCCGCUAAGGAACUCGGCAAAUUGACCCCGUAACUUCGGGAGAAGGGGUGCCUCCGCAAGGAGGUCGCAGCAAAGAGGGCCCGGCGACUGUUUACCAAAAACACAGCUCUCUGCGAAGGGGUAACCCGACGUAUAGGGGGCGACGCUUGGCCAAUGCCCGUAGGUUAAGGGGAGGGGUCAGCCGCAAGGUGCAGCCCCAAACUGAAGCCCGGGUGAAUGCCGGCCGUAACUCUAACGGUUCGUCACAGGGCCGUUGUAAAAUCUGGCUAUAUGCUGGAACAGCUCGUGUAUCCCACGCUACCGAGGAGGUGAAAACGCGAUGGGUGGAGCCAAUCAGCAGGAAAGACUCGCCCACACCGAAGCCGCCAAAUGGUUCCUCGCGGGGUUCAUCGAAGGUGAAGGCUCCCUGCUUGUCAGCAUCAAACACCACGAAACCAGCCGAUACGGCUACUAUGUGGACCCAGAGUUCCACCUUGUCCAACACACGAGUGGACGCAAUAUCCUGGAGCUGGCAAAGCAGGUCUUCCAAACAGGGCGCAUCUACCCCAAACCCGGCAGCCCAAACUGCCUCGUCUACGCCAUUCACUGCCGGCGUAGCCUCUGGGAAAAACUGGUGCCCUUCUACGAAAAGUAUGUCCUUCCCUUCGCCUCCCCGAACAAACGCGAAACCUUUCUGCGGUUUCGCGAAAUCCUGGAGAUGAUGAACCGCGGGGAACAUCGGACCCCUGACGGACUGGCACGCAUCGUCGAGAAGGCGUAUGCGAUGAACCCAGCCGCGAAGGGGAAGCAGCGCCUCAGACCGCUGCACGAGGUGUUGGCGAGAAUCCUCAGAGACCAUACGCCAGACACUCCGCCAAACGCGGAGUGAAGAUAUGGUCCAGUCCCUAUGGCGACAUAGGGGGCAACUGCCUAUGGUAGCGAAAUUCCUUGUCGCGUAAAUUGCGACCCGCACGAAAAGCGUAACGACUGGGCCACUGUCUCAGCGGGACACUCGGUGAAACUG